AACGAACGCUGGCGGCAUGCCUAACACAUGCAAGUCGAACGAGACCUUCGGGUCUAGUGGCGCACGGGUGCGUAACGCGGGGGAACCUGCACUUAGGUUCGGAAUAACUCCCCGAAAGGGGUGCUAAUACCGGAUAAUGUCUUCGGACCAAAGAUUUAUCGCCUUUGGAUGGGCCCGCGUUGGAUUAGCUAGUUGGUAGGGUAAAAGCCUACCAAGGCGACGAUCCAUAGCUGGUCUGAGAGGAUGAUCAGCCACACUGGGACUGAGACACGGCCCAGACUCCUACGGGAGGCAGCAGUGGGGAAUAUUGGACAAUGGGCGAAAGCCUGAUCCAGCAAUGCCGCGUGAGUGAUGAAGGCCUUAGGGUUGUAAAGCUCUUUUACCCGGGAUGAUAAUGACAGUACCGGGAGAAUAAGCUCCGGCUAACUCCGUG
rnacentral:rRNA from 1 species